GAUGAACGCUAGCGGCAGGCUUACUUUUGCAAGUCGAGGGGCAGCAUGGUGUACCAAUACACUGAUGGCGACCGGCAAACGGGUGCGAAACACGUGUGCACCCUACCUUUAUCUGGAGGAUAGCCUUUCAAAAGGAAAAUUAAUACUCCAUAAUAUAUUGAAUGGCAUCAUUUGGUAUUGAAAGCUCCGGCGGAUAGAGAUGGGCACGCGCAAAAUUAGCUAGUUGGUGAGGUAACGGCUCACCAAGGCAAUGAUCUUUAGGGGGCCUGAAAGGGUGAUCCCCCACACUGGUACUGAAACACGGACCAAACUCCUACGGGAGGCAGCAGUGAGGAAUAUUGGACAAUGGGUGCAAGCCUGAUCCACCCAUCCCGCGUGAAGGACAACGGCCCUAUGGGUUGUAAACUUCUUUUGUAUAGGGAUAAACCUACCCUCGUGAGGGUAGCUAAAGGUACUAUACAAAUAAGCACCGGCUAACUCCGUG
rnacentral:rRNA from 1 species